CAGUCCUUCCCUGUUGAUGCAAAAAGCGGUCACUGUUACAAAAAGCGGAAUAUUUUGAUUUGAACUAAAGUUCAUCCAAGUAACUUUAUUGUUGAAGUUAGGCAGAAUGUCCCUCUGACAGCAUGGGUUUAUCAGAUAGUGUUUUUUCCAGAUACUUUUAAAUUUCAAUGUUCAGUGUGAUCUGUGCUGAAGAGGUGUCUUCCUCUGUAAUCUGUUUGCAGCCUUUCCCUGUUGAUUUAAGAAGUAGUUACUAUUAAAAAAGUGGACUCUACUAAAGGAGAGUGACGUUUUCAUCCAAGUAGCUGUAUUUUUUCAUAAGUUGGAUCAUAUGUCCCUCUGAGAGCGUGUUGUUUUAUAACGGUUUUUUUUCAAGUAGUGUUUUUCACUCUUCAUUCUUUGGAGAUGAUAACAGCUCAUGUGAACUGUGAUCUGUGUUGAACAGAUGUGUUUUCCUCUAUAAUCGCCUCUGCAGUCCUUCCCUAUUGAUGCAAAAAGUAGUCACUGUUGUAAAAAGUGGAAUAUUUUUAUUUAAACUAGAGCUAAGUUCAUCCAAGUAACUGUAUUAUUGAAAGUUAGACAGAAUGACCUCUGGCAGCAUGGGUUUUCAAAUACUGUCUUUCGAGACACUUUUACAUCUUGUGUUCAGUGUGAUCUGUGAUGAAGAGGUGUCUUCUUCUAUAAUCACCAGUUUGCAGCCUUUGCCUAUUGGUACAAAAAGUAGUUACUAUUACAAAAAGUGGACUUUUUUUUUAAUUUAAACAAAGGAGAGUUAAGUUUUCAUCCAAGUAGCUGUAUUUUUUGGAAGUUAGACCAAAUGUCCCUCCGAGAGCAUCUUAUUUUAUAACGUGUUUUUUUCAAGUAGUGUUUUUCACUGAUUGUUAUUUUGGAGACAAUAACAGCUCAUGUGGAGUGUGAUCUGUGUUGAACAGAUGUGUUUUCCUCUAGAAUCACCUCUGCAGUCUUUCCGUAUUGAUGGAAAAUGUAGUUAUGAUUUAAACUAGAGCUAAGUUCACCCAAGUAACUGUAUUUUUAAAAGUUAGACAGAAUGUACCACUGACAGCACGGGUUUUUUUAAAUAGUGUCUUUCCAGGCACUUUUACAUCUCGUGUUCGAUGUGAUCUGUGCUGAACAGAUGUGUUUCCCUGUAUGAUCAUCUCUAUGGUCUUUCCCUACUGAUACAAAAAGUAGUUACUAUUACAAAAAGUGGAAUACUUUGAUUUAAACUAAAGUAGAGUUUUCAUCCAAGUAACUGUAUUUUUGAACGUUAGACUAAAUGUCCCUCUGAUAGUAUGUUGUUUCUAUAACUUUUUUUUUCAAGUAGUGUUUUUCACUGUUACACUGUGAACAGAGCUAGACAAAUAAAGGAGUGAAUUUCAUACUUUUAAAUGUAUUGCUCAAUGCUCUGGGUGAAGAAAAGUAUGGGAUGACCUUAAUGGUGCUUGGUGUCCAGAAGAAAGGGAUCAGGGCAGCUUUUUUUGUUGCCACCAAGUUUUAUUCUUUGGUGCCAGAAGGAAUCAGAUUAGAUUUUUAAUGUGGAAAUAUUUAUCCUAAUUUAUUCAAGUAUUGCCCAGAUCAGUUUAAAAAAUACAAAACCAUACACGCAUUGAUCUGUAAGUGGGAUUUAGGGAUAAGGAGUGCUGAUCUUUUGUGGUGAGUUGUGUAAGACCUCUCUGGCUUGUGUUUUGUUACAAAACAGAAGUAAAAAGAGUGAAAACUGGUCCUUGAUGCUGCAAAAUCUUCUUGCCGCACAGCAAUUAACAACAGUCGAUGUGGGCUUGUUAGCUUUGGAGUUUGCUUCCACGCUUUUCCCUGUCCCAUCUGUUUAGGUUUUCUAUUUUGAGGGUGGGAACAGGGUUUUCAGUGAGUAUUGCUACUCAGAGGUGUAGAAGUAAUAAUAAUCACCAGAGUAACUUGCUGGAUUGUGGUCUUAAAAAGUAAUUACAGAUGCAAUUAAAAUAGAGGACAUUUUUGGCCUCUGUGUUCUAGUUUUGACCUAAAAUUGAUUGCCUCUUACAUGGCAAAUAAUCCCAUUAGGGCUGAAUGCACAUGAAAUAAAUUGUAAUUUAUCGUGAGUAGAGGGGUAGAAAUGGAGCCCGAAAUCGAGCUGCCAGGUACAACGGCUGGGCAGAUUGUGCAGGGCCAGCCCCAUUUUUCUCAACCAGAGUUAAUUUAUCUUCCCUGUAUGGGUUUUAUGGCUAUAAUAAGUAAGUUGCAGUAGGUUGAAUGGUUACAAAUGGACAUGCUCUGUGGAUGAUUCCUGGCCAAGUGACUUUGCAUGGCCCAAGAGUCUGUUUUCUUUGCCUCAGCCAUGCUAUCUGUCUCCACUUUUUGCCACCAGUUCUUUCCUUACUGGAAUUUUAAAGCAAUAGCAAGAGCAUCAGUCUUUAGGCUGAUUAUUAAAAGCAGCACCUGGAAUUUAUUUAAAACAGUACCUGCAGUUCUUCUUUAUAAUUCUGUUAUUUGAUUUGCAGGAGGAGAUCUGGAUCUCCAUUAUCUCUUUUCUGUCUUCAUGCAAAGCUUUUAAACACUUCCGGAUAUGCUAAUAUACUCCAUUGGUGGGGGGAUAUGAAUUUGAAUGUGAAGCCUCAGUGUCCCUGAGGCUGGUGUUUUUCGAGAGGUGAGAAGUGCAGCAUAUGAAUAUGAAUGCUGGUGUUUUUCGAGAGGUGAGAAGUGCAGCAGGCUGGAAGAUGGGUCUGACACUGGGAUCUCUGGCACUGGGAGCUGGAUAAUGGGAUCAGAUUCUCCCAGGGUGGUGAUGGAGAUGUGGAUGAAGGUGCAGAGUCUCAUCUCUUCAGCCUUCCUGUGCCGCUCCAUGCCUCACCCCUGUGCACAGGAAGAGUUUUGGGGGCCUAAAUCACAUUUACACAAUUUGGAUAUCAGGAAAACUUAGUUAAACUGGGUCAAAACCAGACUGAACUCCAGCAGCAGUUGCUCUGGGACUUUAUAGUCUUUUUGUGGAAUAAUCAAGUGCUUCCCAAGUUGCAAAGUCCAUUCUUCUUCCCCAGACAAACACUGUUCCCUCCCUCCUGGGGUUUAUGAUUUUUAAUCAAUUUCAGCCUUCCCUCAAGCCCUUCAGUGGCAUCUUGCCUUGCGGCAGAGGAGAAGGAAGGCGAUAUCACAGUGGGUUGAAAAGUUAAAUCAGAGACUGGUGGGGGAAAUGGCCAAACAUCGAUUUGUUAAUGAAGGCUGGCAGUGAAAGCCCUGACACGUGGAAUCAAUUAGCAGUCAAAGCAAACAAGAGAUCUGACCAAACCCCUUCCUUUCUAAUUAGCAGCGCCAACUGUGCUCUGCAGGCAAGGUGGGCGUGCAGAUGUGCUUUGCGAAGUUUGGCAGAUUAUUUUCUAGAGGAUGAUUUGAGUUAUCGGCAAAAUACUUUACCUCCAAGGAGUGGAUAUUUUAUUACUGGGUUUAGCAUCUCAUCUCCUGUUGUGUUUUUUUUAAUUCUGAUUGGACCCAGCUAAGUGAUGGGAUAAAAGCAUGGUAGAUCUGAGCAGUCAGAGAUAGAAGCUGUGUUCCUGCACCAAACAGGAUUUGUUUUGAUAACCUUAUUUGUGUUGUAGCCUUUAAACUAAACAAAAUACCUAACUUAAGCAAGAAACCUGAACAUAAGCGACAGCAGAGUUGGUUCUUGACUGGUGUGAGGCAGAUCCAAGCUUCCUUCCGUUUUGCUGUUUGGCUGGCAGCAGGGCAGCGUGGAGCUGAGGUCCCAUUGGAUUAUCCCAAGCAUGGAAAUAGGCACUGCUGUUAAAAGUUGUGUAGCUUGGCUGUGUCUUUGUGGUGGAGCUGGUGGAGACAGGAGUUCUGGAAGGCUUGCAGGGGUGUGCCAAGUCUUCCAACCUGCGUCAGGGUGGCUUUUCAAAUAUUGCAUGGUGGCUCUCCUUGUAUUCCUGCUGUUUUGUGUCUUUGUGCGACUCUUUUCUCUUUGUACGUAGUUUGUUGACUUGUUGUAGGUUUCUUUGACUGCUCCCUCGAUCUUCACGAUGCUACUUUGUGGUGUCCCCAGAGGCUGGAACAUGAAUGGUGGGAAUGCUGGAACGGAAAAAAUAGCUGCAGGGAGUUCAAUGAUGAGCUACAGCAGUUUCGGCCUUCACUUCCCUUUUUAAUGCUAGACUCGCACACCCUUGUCAUGGUUCCCUGGAGAUGCGUUCUUCCCUGUGCAGUGCUUGGAGGAUGUCUUUAUGCCUAGAGAGGGAUGGCAGCGUGGCACAGGACCUGGGAGCCUGUGCUCCAUCCCUUAAAGAUGUAUUUUUAAAAUGUAUUUCUUUCAAACAGUACAAGGCCCUUACCUGCUCAGCAGUCCCUGUCAUCGUUCACUUAUAUUGAAACCAGGUGCAGAUUUUUGUACUUCCACCCUUGGCUGCAGAAGGAGAAUUGUCUCUGGAAUGUCUGGAAGGGCUCUACAGCCCCCUUGCUCCCUUGGCUGAUGUGGACAGUAAUGGGUUCUUGGAGAAAAACAGCAUCUCAAAUGGCAUCUCGACUCCAGUUUGUGACUUCCUGUACUGAAGCUGAUGCAGGGAUAUUAGAGCUCAACAUGUCAUUUAUUUAUGCAUCUCUUAUAAAUCACAAGAUGUUUAUAAAUAAUAUUUGAAAAAUAUUGGUGCAGCUGUGUGAGUUGUGAGUGAGCGUUUUUUUAUCUUCUUCUUCUUUUUUUUUUUUUCCCAAAGAGUUAGCUUGAAAUUUGUGUUAUAACUUUUCAAGGUGAAAAGUUGGGUGAUAUGGUCCAAGUACAGAAAGGGUGGAGUUCUGGGCACUUGCAUUGGUGCUCUCAGUGAAUCUCCAAAGCGUGCACAAAAUCAUUUAGGAUAUCCAAUAGGACUAGGCGUAUAAUUAAGUGUGUUGCUGGAUCAAUAAUGGCAAUAUUGCUCAUGGAAUUUGCACAUUCUCUUCCCCUGCUCACCUUUCAAGACUGUGCUAUCUGUCCAUCUGUACUUGCUGAAACUUCUGAUGGGAAAGCAGGGAUGGAAAUAGUUUAUGUAUGCAUGCAAGCUGUGCUCUUCUCAUAAUAUGUGAAAAAGUACUCUUUGGGUUUUUGUGUAAUCAGUUCCUGACUAAAUACUUCACUUUUAGACUCAGAUGGUUUUCUAAAAAGAUUCAUUUCUGACCUAACCUUUUCUGUGACAGGGACAGCAGUAUUUUUGCAAUUUCUCAUUGUGUUUAACACAAAGAAGCCAUGUGAUACUUAAUUGGAAGAAGUUUGGAUGUUUUUAUAUGGCCAUCUGUGCCAGAUUUGACUUUAAUUCUUUCAUUCUGUAGUAAUGCUAAAUCUGCAAAUAACAAUUUGACUGUGUACUUUACCAAGCUAUUUAGAAAACAAACACCAGAAGAAAAGUCUGUUCUGCAAUUUUUGUUGCACGAUUAUGUACAAAGAAUAUGGGCCCUCUGGCUGGUUUUGCCUCUUGACUUAAGCAUCAGAUGGAGCUGAAGGACCAACCUACACUUAUUUGUAUUUUAAGCUUCAUAGAUUAUGUUUGCGUUUUUCUUUUGAAGUACUUAACAUGCAUUAUUAAGCGUGGAACAGUGGCUAGUGGUGUAAGUAUGGCACAUGAAAAUCUUGUGGAGUAGGUCCCAGUAGUUCUGGAGUUAAGGGCUAGUGUGCUUCACACCAGUCAUUUGGAGUUUAUAUAACAAACCUUAAUUAUUCCCUAGAAAGCUUGAGUAUAUUCAGAAAGGUACAAUGUAAUGAAGUGGCUUCAGAACAAAAGAUAAUAAAAUAACUGGUGCAGAGCUUUGGCAGCCCUUUAAAAUGUCUGUCUGGAAGCCUAUACCUGAUGUGCAGCACCAGACAUGGUGUUAGGGACAUGGUUUAGUGGUGGGCUUGGCAGUGUUAGGUGUAUGGUUGGACUUGAUGUCUUAAUGGUCUUUGCCAACCUAAAUGAUUCUGUUAUAGAUGCAAAAUGCGUUGGAGGACAACACAACAUUAUAGGUAAUGGCCUGCUCCUCUUGAUUGUUUUCAACAACCGCUUCCACUUUAAGAGCAUGUUUUAUUGCAAAACUAAUUCUUUGUGUCCUAGUUAAACAUGUCAGUGGUGUGACUGAAAUUUCUGUUUUCCAUUACAAAGAAUCACUUUUUUCCCCCUAGCACUGCAGUUUUUCUGUUGUCACAAAAUUGCAUUUAUCUUGAAUCACAAAUCUUACAGCUUCCUUUCAGGUCAUUAAGUUUUGAGUGAAAAUAGUUCUGAUUACAAGCGAUGGAAAGUAUUUACAUCUUGCAUCUGUUGGUGUAGAAAUGGGAUUAGAUUUAGAAAUGGCAGAAGGUCCAGGUUGGAACUGGAUGAUGUUCAAGGGCCCUUCCAACCCAAACCAUUCUAUGAUUCUGUGAUUCUGGAGGAGAUGGUUUUGGUGGUGUGUGGUUGCUGUGUGGCACCGGGUGAUGUUCCUUAGUGUGUGCAGAUGUUUCAGUUGUUACGGGGGCGUUCCCAGCGGUGUCACAGCCUCUGGCCCCAGGAGACAUUCCUGGGUCUGCUGGCUGAGCCCCCUGUGUGUGAGGUUGGCAUGGGCUGUGUCAGCAGCAAGGUGCCAUCCCCAAAGCCACCGUUCUUUGCGAGCAGGAGGAGAUGAAGAGCUGAUGAGAAGUUGCUCAGAACCAAACACUUUUAAUGAAAGCUGUAAAAAUGAAGGAUAGGUCGAAGUGCUUUCCAGCACAGCACCAAGUGCCUUGUCCAGCUCCUGCAGCAGGAAGGACAGAAGAAAGGCUGCUUCCUUGCUGGCUCUGCUACGCCACAUUAAUCUGAGGAGAAAGGCAGCAAAGCAGGGUGGAUGUUCAAAGCCAAAGCUGGUUUUCUGCGGUAACAAUGAAGCAGUUUCCCAAGACUGAUCUCUGGUUCAGUGGCAGAAACAAGAUCAAAACUCGAGUAUUCCUGACCUCUUCCUCUGGAUUCCCUGCGCAGGGAUAAAGCACAGAGGUCUGGGUGGCAGCAUUUUAAUUACGAACCAUUAUCUCUCCCAGCGUGGUAGUUAUUCAUCAUUGCAUAAAUCCGAGUCUGUGACUUGGGGCUGAAUUACUCAUCGUAGUUUUGCUGUAUCUUCUUUUGUGUUAAUGUUUCUGAGUCUUAAGAUGUUAAAGAUAAAAAGCAAUCACAAAUAGGGACAAAUGAGGAAUAUUUAUGCUUGGCUGCGCCUCUUCAGAAUGUUUCAAGUUAGUUUCUGCUCUGUUUUUAAUUGCACAGUUUGCUUCCUUUUAUUGGGCUAUCUUGAUUUUAUUGUAGAUUUUACUGAUAGGGAGCAUUAUAAGAAAAGUAAUUUCUUUAUUGUAUUUUUCUAGGGUAUUUACUGCAUUUAUAAAAUAGAGAGAUG